rnacentral:rRNA from 1 species
AUUGAACGCUGGCGGCAGGCCUAACACAUGCAAGUCGAGCGGAUGAAGGGAGCUUGCUCCUGGAUUCAGCGGCGGACGGGUGGGUAAUGCCUAGGAAUCUGCCUGGUAGUGGGGGAUAACGUCCGGAAACGGGCGCUAAUACCGCAUACGUCCUGAGGGAGAAAGUGGGGGAUCUUCGGACCUCACGCUAUCAAAUGAGCCUAGGUCGGAUUAGCUAGUUGGUGGGGUAAAGGCCUACCAAGGCGACGAUCCGUAACUGGUCUGAGAGGAUGAUCAGUCACACUGGAACUGAGACACGGUCCAGACUCCUACGGGAGGCAGCAGUGGGGAAUAUUGGACAAUGGGCGAAAGCCUGAUCCAGCCAUGCCGCGUGUGUGAAGAAGGUCUUCGGAUUGUAAAGCACUUUAAGUUGGGAGGAAGGGCAGUAAGUUAAUACCUUGCUGUUUUGACGUUACCAACAGAAUAAGCACCGGCUAACUUCGUG